AUUGAACGCUGGCGGCAUGCUUUACACAUGCAAGUCGAACGGCAGCGCGGGCUUCGGCCUGGCGGCGAGUGGCGAACGGGUGAGUAAUACAUCGGAACGUGCCCAGUAGUGGGGGAUAGCUCGGCGAAAGCCGGAUUAAUACCGCAUACGACCUGAUGGUGAAAGCGGGGGAUCUUCGGACCUCGCGCUAUUGGAGCGGCCGAUGGCAGAUUAGCUAGUUGGUGGGGUAAAGGCCUACCAAGGCGACGAUCUGUAGCUGGUCUGAGAGGACGACCAGCCACACUGGGACUGAGACACGGCCCAGACUCCUACGGGAGGCAGCAGUGGGGAAUUUUGGACAAUGGGCGAAAGCCUGAUCCAGCAAUGCCGCGUGUGUGAUGAAGGCCUUCGGGUUGUAAAGCACUUUUGGCGGGAACGAAAAGGACUGUGCCAAUACCACGGUUCGAUGACGGUACCUGCAGAAUAAGCACCGGCUAACUACGUG
rnacentral:rRNA from 1 species